rnacentral:lncRNA from 1 species
GCAGAGAAGGUGGUGGUUCCGGCAGGGCAGCUGCUCCCGGUGAUGGAGGGGGUGUCGCUGACUGACAGCCGCCAGCUUGCCCGAGGUGGCCUGCCACCAUUUUCAUGCCACUCACCUCUCCCUCGGUGAAUCCUUCCUUGUAAGAAAAUCUCUGUUGCUAAUUUGUUCUGCUUGUGAUGAUUGCAAACGGCUAGCAAUUAACCCCUCUUGCUUCUUCCUUGGAGUGGGACUGACUGGCUGUAAAUCUCUUACACUGAGCACCUGAGCUGGAAUGUCAGAUAUCUUUUGUUAGAACAACAUGCCUCGACUAACUGAGAAAUAGCCAAGUAAAGAGGAAUUGUGCUUACUCAAAUGGAGUGCAAACUACGUUACCACAGUUACUCAUAUGCAAAACGUCCUGGACUCCUGGCUGUAUUUAUUAUUCCUGAUGAUUGGGUAUCUCCAAUGUAUGCAGAUCCAUGGUGGAUCAAGUGGAAUCGGUACAUUCGCUAUACAGAAUUCAAAGCACUUUGCAAAUGUACACAUGAGACAUUAUUCUUU